CAGCGCCGCCGCCACCGGCCGCGGGUCUCCGCCGUUUGAGUAACCGUCGGUGAUGAGGAAGAUCGCCUUUGUGGCGUUCUCACGCGACUGCCUCAGAAUUUGCUUUCCUGUAUAGGGUUAAUGGGCUUGCUUAGUGAACCAUGAUCAUCACAGCAAGGUAUUCUAUUUCAAAACCUCGCAGACACCUUACCAUGUUAUAAAGCUGAUGUCAGCAUUCCAGAAUGGAGUAAACAUGUGACCGGAGUGCAUUCAAUUGCUUGGUUGGAGGUCUGAGCUGUUUUGACAUGUUAUGGUUCCAGUGGCAAAGAAUACCAGCAACAUGAACCUACACUGCAAAAACAAGCCCACUAGAUGGACCAAACCAUUUCAAGCAAUAGUCCUGGGCAGGAGAAAACAGCUCGCUGUUCAAUUACUACAUCUUUUUCCACAAGUCUGCAAUAAAUCCUGUAAAAAAACAUUUGAGGGUAAACAUUUUUCUCUGCAAAGCUGAGCUGUUGAAACCCUAGAUAUAAACCACAGUUUGAUUUCGCACAUGGGAGACUCCUGUUUCAUGCCUUAAGUUUAUAUGCCUCCCACUGUGCACUAUGUUCUCCUUUAGUUCUCCUUGAGUGAUUACAAUUGAUUUCAUUUCCUCAACAUGUCAGACACACUCGGCCAACUACACCUUGUUUAGAAGGACAGGAGCAGAGAUUGUUGGGCUAAUGGAUGGGGUAGGCCUAUGCAUCUACCGACUGCUGGAAGUCCCUAGAUCCUUAUUACAGUUCUCUCUGUCUGUGAAGUGAAUUGAAGAGGAUGUGCAAGUGUGCGUGGUUGGAUGGAGUUUGAAUAAAGGGAGUGUAAUUGGUCUGGAUAACACACCGGGACAGAAGGAUUGUGGAGGAUGGUUAGUUGGUUCCUGUCAAAACACCAUUUAUCAAACCAAGGACAGUAAGGCAGUGAAGGAAAUCAUUUUUAAAAGAGAGAAGGCCUUGACAAUAUUUCAUCUAAUGCAAGGGCAAAUGUGGUCUCUCUGGUGCUGCCAGCCAUGUACUAGGAACUCCGUGCAAGAACAAAGUUAUGCAAGAGCAAAAAAGAGUCUGGAUUUGGUCCUUUAAAUUAGAUUUCUCUUAUUUUAGAUCUUUAUGCCAGAACUGAGAGAGACAGAAAAUUUAGCAGUUCUUUUUAUGAAAUGAAUUGUGACUUUUGCCUGUAAUUGAAAACAAAUUUGAAUGAUAGGACUAAAUACUUGUGAAACCAAACAAGCCCCAUCAAUAUAACCAGACUCUUGGUUUGCUAAAUGACAAGAGGCAAGUGACAGAAAAGCCACAAGCCACCAAAUAGAUGCCUGUGAAGGAGACCAAAACACCGUGAAGGAAAAACAAUUAGGACAAAAUGGUUCUUAAACAUGAAUUGGUGACUGGAGAUACAGGAUAUUAGUUUUGUGGACUAUGUGGUUUAAAUAAAUAAUUUAGCAUUUAAGUAAAUCGCUUAAUCAAACCGUGGUGUGAUGUAAUGCCUUUUUUAAAAGGAAAGACUCAAAGGGGUGAAUUACCAGAUAAAUGAUAAAGUCUUUACUGUGGAGUGCAUCAGAGACUGUAAUAAUUGUAAAAAUAUUUGUUCUCAGUAUUAAAUGGCUUUUUGUGCAUAUAUUAAAUGCUUUAAGCAUCAUGUUGCUUUUAUAUUAACUGAUUCACUGAUUAUACUUUAAAAUGUCAAAUUACAAACCUCAUAUUGAUAUUUUAGAAUGUUUAC